rnacentral:rRNA from 1 species
AAAUUUUCGGAUGGAUUUCUGAUUGACUGAGUGGCGGACGGGUGAGUAACGCGUGGAUAACCUGCCUCACACUGGGGGAUAACAGUUAGAAAUGGCUGCUAAUACCGCAUAAGCGCACAGUACCGCAUGGUACGGUGUGAAAAACUCCGGUGGUGUGAGAUGGAUCCGCGUCUGAUUAGUUAGUUGGCGGGGUAACGGCCCACCAAGACAGCGAUCAGUAGCCGACCUGAGAGGGUGACCGGCCACAUUGGGACUGAGACACGGCCCAAACUCC